CUCGCAGGUCAUCCCCACUCUCCACCCACCCCGCGUGGGUGUACCCCGCCGAAGUUGUACUCCUCCAUGUCUCGCAUGGCCGGAGUAGUAGCACCAGAGGAAAUCGGCAGGGAAGGAGCGCCUCUGACGGAGAUAUGCAGGCAGGUUAUUGGAUUUUGGUCGCCCUCUCUGCUCCCUCGGGAGGAUGUGUGCCAGCUGACCGUAUUAACCUGUUCAGAGACCGACUGAAAGAAGAUUCAGUUUACACCUUUGAAAUGUUCAUCGUCCCUAAUCGCACGGAGGUACAAAGUAACUGAUCAUCCGUAUAGAAUUAGGAUUACUCAGCUCACAAAGAUAGAGGAGAUUACUUCAGAGUCUGAAAGUUUCCAAAUAGGAAACAAUACACUCUUAUCAGACGUUGGCUUGCUGACAAUGCAGACAGAUAUUAUUCCAUCAAGGACAUGUCAAGACUCAAGGAGAAAUAUUUACCUCAAAGAUGCAAGGUAUAAUUUCACCACCUAUGCCAGCAAAUGAUUUCAGCACCUAUGCCAGCAAUUUUUAAAUUUAUUGAGAGUUAACUAGACUAAUAUUGUGUAAUUACUGUAAGUGGUGAACAAGCUAUCGUCACCUUAUGGGGAGAACACGCAGAAGCUUUUGAUGCUGCCUUGCUGCACGAGUCAUCUUUUCAAGACAGUAUUGUUGUACUUUUUGUUGGCAUGGCCAUUGCCCAGUAUUUAGGUACGUCGCUUCAUAUGACCAUGAAGGCAAUAUUCAUCAAUUGAAUCCAUACUUAUCAAGCUACUACAGUGUGGAUACUAUCACAGGAAAGUUGGCCUUCAAGAGCACAUCCCAAACUCGCUGGCAUGUCAAUAUACCAAUUCCAGAAAUGUCAGACAUACGGAAAAGAUAAAGUUGGCAAGGUUCAGCAAAUGCAAGAGCUGAGCCAACCGAGACAACGCUUUAUGAUCUGGCUAAGAAACCAAGAGAUGACAAUGUGGUACGUACUCGCGUGUCACCUGAAAAAACCAUCAGAAACAGCUAACUCAAGUAUAUUAGUUCUCAGGCCGCGCACCGUCUCAACCAUUGGCAAAAUAAUUAAUCCCUGACUGCACUUACCCGGUAAGCUCGCAGGUGUCCCUUAAACUCUUCCGCUAUCGUUGCGUGAUUGUAUCUUUUCAAUAAUUUGUUCUCACUACAUUGUUUCGUAGGUUCUAUUCCUAGCACUGAAGACAUUAAACAGAUCAAUGAGGUUGUGAAUGGCUUGCAUUAUUUUUUUGGCGUUUGCUAAAUCAGGAUCUAGAGUUAUAGAUCAUCUCCUUUCAGUAUGAACUCCUGAAUAUUGAUAAUACCAUAGUUUUUCGUUAACUUUGUGCUUAUUAAUCACACCUUCGAGCAGAUAGGAGAUGAUGCAGCUCUAGGCACACUCCCCAGUACUACUUUUUUCAGUCUUCCCUUUGUCCUGGGCGUGAAAGAAAUCCUUCCCAGCAUGUAUUUCCAUACAUGUAUUGCUAAGUAAGUACUCAAAUUGUUAGUUAUGUUUUGCAGGUUCAAAUAAGUACCCGCCCAAUGAUAUUAAACAUCGUUAUUUACCAUUUCAAGAUUAUUAAAGAUUAGUUCAGCACAUAUGGGUUACCAUUCAUCUUCAUUUUUAAUUAGCAAAAGCUUAUUGGAAAACGAUAACCUUGGAGACUUCCAUAUUUUCUUGAUUGGAAUUUGUUAACUCGAUAUCUUAGUGUAUGUUCUGUACGCCAAGUUGGUUUUCUACACUGAUCCAUAAUCUGUUACCAAAUGUAAUAUUUGGAACAUAUGUAGCUAGAAAUAAAUUCAUACAUUUGAAUAUCCAAACAUGGUUUUAUCAACCUAUGAUGUUGUACAAUUGUGUUAAGUCUUCGAGACUGUGAUUUUUACCUGCUGAUGUGAACCUUAAAUGCGUUCUUUUUUGUAUAAACUUCGGUCUUCAAAUUUCUACUGGCAAAUGCAUGUUAAUUUAAAAAAAGAGCAAACAAUGUGACUUUUUGCAAGAAUAUUUGUGCUGUUGCAAGGAAAUAGUUAUGUUAAUUCUGGGAAAACCAACAUGUGGCCAUCUGUUCCACACAAAGAGUUCUUUAAAAAGGAAGCAAAUGACCCUUAAUGUGGUAGCCUUUUGUCUGAUACACAAGUCUUUCAAGUAAAGGAUAUAUUCGUAAGUCGUAUCUGGCCUGCUGAUUGGUCGUGUUUGACUAUUUAUUCCCUUGCCUAAUAAUUUAAUUAUUUCUGCAGGGGGCACAAUAUUUUUGUUGCGAUGUUGCUAAUGAAUGAUGUUCCUCUCUUUCUCAUCCAUGGACAUCUUGGCUUUUACUAUUUUUUUUUGCCUAUCGGUCGAUCUUGCGAAUUAAGUUUCCAGCUACUUCUAUCUUCUGUAUGUGUGCUGAUUUCUGCAACAAUGUAUUUAAUGUGUGAAGAUAAUGCGGUGACAAUGGUUGUUGCAAGGGUUGUCAUAAGUAUUUGCUACCAAUCUUUAGAUAAAUUUUAUAUGAUUUUUAAGACGUGCUAGCUCACAUGUUAUACAUUCUGACAUGUCCAAUAGUUAUGUCCAUUUAAUUGGUAAUACAUUUGAUUGGCCCUUCAUGUCUCCUUCCGGUCACGGUACAGGCGUGGCGUGCCGCCGCGCCAAAGCUUUUAGAUUGGUGCCACAAACUAUUCUUUAUUUUUCUUUACAUUUGAUCUGAUAAAAAUCAGAAAGAUCAACAAUGGUGUGAUUAUGUUUGAUUUCCAAACAAAAAAUCCUAAAAUGGUGAGAUUUAGUAAAAAGGUGGAACUUCAAAGCUCUCCUUUUUAUUGCUAUAUUUUCUUAAGUAAAUCAUAAAAUAGAACAAGACACAACAAAACUGUUGUGCCGAAUGAGCACUAAAGAGCAGCCUUAACUUAAAGCCCCUCUAUUCCGUAUACAAAUUUUAGAUAUAACCUUACAGUGUGAAUUACAGAAUGUUGCCACAGUCUACUGCUUGACUCAAAUGUCUGAUGUGCCACAGUCUGUUGACUUUUGAUGGACACAUGGAAUGGCCUGAUUUAGAAAGUUCAGCAUCAAUAUGAUUAUUCGGUAAGAUAAAUAUGUUUGAAUACAAAAGGUUGGAUUGGCUAAAAAAAUAGAAAAAAUCUGUUUCUCACCAGCAUAUAUGCUUGAAUUGGUAAGUGUCCUAUGCAUAUCUCUUUCCUUCAUAAAUAUUCUUGCUACAGGUUUUGUGUGAAACCGUGUUGUUCUCUUGGUCUAUGAACCUGCCGUGUUAGGUGCUUUGAGAUUUUAGUCCCCAUAUAUGUAUUCCACACUCUCAGUUAUGUCUUGCUUUCUCUAACAAUGGUUCUACAGACAUAGUUUCAGGCAGAUAGCAUUAUUGAAGCAUGUUUUCGUACAAAAAGUUAAACAAAUAAUCGAUGUGCUAUUUUCUUCUUAGUAUCUAAUUCUUCCAAUUUUCUUGCUUUCCGAUGACUAAUUUAGGGUUUGUUUCCUGCUUCUUUUUUUAAGAACAAACCAUGCUUUUACUUUUCUUUUGGUCAUA